rnacentral:tRNA from 1 species
GAGACAUUAGUAAAAUGUAAAUAUUACACCACCUUGUCAAGGUGGAAUUGCUGGUUAGAUCCCAGCAUGUCUUA